UGGGGAAUAUUGGGCAAUGGGCGCAAGCCUGACCCAGCAACGCCGCGUGAAGGAAGAAGGCCCUCGGGUUGUAAACUUCUUUUGUCAGGGACGAAGCAAGUGACGGUACCUGACGAAUAAGCCACGGCUAACUACGUGCCAGCAGCCGCGGUAAUACGUAGGUGGCAAGCGUUAUCCGGAUUUACUGGGUGUAAAGGGCGUGUAGGCGGGAGAGCAAGUCAGACGUGAAAUUCCAGGGCUCAACCCUGGAACUGCGUUUGAAACUGUUCUUCUUGAGUGAUGGAGAGGCAGGCGGAAUUCCGUGUGUAGCGGUGAAAUGCGUAGAUAUACGGAGGAACACCAGUGGCGAAGGCGGCCUGCUGGACAUUAACUGACGCUGAGGCGCGAAAAGCGUGGGGAGCAAAACAGGAUUAGAUACCC
rnacentral:rRNA from 1 species